rnacentral:rRNA from 1 species
GACGAACGCUGGCGGCGUGCUUAACACAUGCAAGUCGAACGGAAAGGCCCUGCUUUUGUGGGGUGCUCGAGUGGCGAACGGGUGAGUAACCCGCGAGUAACCUGCCCUUGACUUUGGGAUAACUUCAGGAAACUGGGGCUAAUACCGGAUAGGAGCUCCUGCUGCAUGGUGGGGGUUGGAAAGUUUCGGCGGUUGGGGAUGGACUCGCGGCUUAUCAGCUUGUUGGUGGGGUAGUGGCUUACCCAGGCUUUGACGGGUAGCCGGCCUGAGAGGGUGACCGGCCACAGUGGGACUGAGAUACGGCCCAGACUCCUACGGGAGGCAGCAGUGGGGAAUAUUGCACAAUGGGCGGAAGCCUGAUGCAGCAACGCCGCGUGCGGGAUGACGGCCUUCGGGUUGUAGACCGCCUUCGCCUGUGACGAAGCGUGAGUGACGGUAAUGGGUAAAGAAGCACCGGCUAACUACGUG